UACGAAGGGGGCUAGCGUUGUUCGGAAUUACUGGGCGUAAAGCGCGCGCAGGCGGUCUUCCAAGUCAGUGGUGAAAGCCCGGAGCUCAACUCCGGAACUGCCAUUGAAACUGUUGGACUUGAGUACGAGAGAGGUGAGUGGAAUUCCCAGUGUAGAGGUGAAAUUCGUAGAUAUUGGGAAGAACACCGGUGGCGAAGGCGGCUACACUGGCUCGUAACUGACGCUCAGGCGCGACAGCGUGGGGAUCAAACAGG
rnacentral:rRNA from 1 species